rnacentral:rRNA from 1 species
AUUGAACGCUGGCGGCAUGCCUUACACAUGCAAGUCGAACGGCAGCACGGGUGCUUGCCCCUGGUGGCGAGUGGCGAACGGGUGAGUAAUACAUCGGAACAUGUCCUGUAGUGGGGGAUAGCCCGGCGAAAGCCGGAUUAAUACCGCAUACGAUCUACGGAUGAAAGCGGGGGACCUUCGGGCCUCGCGCUAUAGGGUUGGCCGAUAGCUGAUUAGCUAGUUGGUGGGGUAAAGGCCUACCAAGGCGACGAUCAGUAGCUGGUCUGAGAGGACGACCAGCCACACUGGGACUGAGACACGGCCCAGACGCCGACGGGAGGCAGCAGUGGGGAAUUUUGGACAAUGGGCGAAAGCCUGAUCCAGCAAUGCCGCGUGUGUGAAGAAGGCCUUCGGGUUGUAAAGCACUUUUGUCCGGAAAGAAAUCCUUGGCUCUAAUACAGGCGGGGGAGGACGGUACCGGAAGAAUAAGCACCGGCGAACUACGU